rnacentral:rRNA from 1 species
GACGAACGCUGGCGGCGUGCCUAAUACAUGCAAGUAGAACGCAGUUGCGCACGGGUGUGUAACGCGUAGGUAACUGCCUCAUAGCGGGGGAUAACUAUUGGGAACGAUAGCUAUUACCGCAUACUGUGAGAUGGACCUGCGUGGUAUUAGCUAGUUGGUGGGGUAAGGGCUCACCAAGGCGACGAUACAUAGCCGGGCUGAGAGGGGGGUGGGCCACACUGGGACUGCGACACGGCACAGACGCCUACGGGAGGCAGCAGUAGGGACUCUUCGGCAAUGGACGUAAGGCUGACCGGGCAACGCCGCGGUAGUGACGAGGGUGUUCGGAUCGUAAAGCUCUGUUAUUAGAGACGCGGUAACUAACCAAAAAGGGACGGCUAACUACGUGCCAGCAGCCGCGGUAAUUC